GGGUUGUGAGGUUAAGCGAAUAAGCGUACACGGUGGAUGCCUAGGCAAUCAGAGGCGAUGAAGGACGUGCUAAUCUGCGAUAAGCGUCGGUAAGGUGAUAUGAACCGUUAUACCCGACGAUUUCCGAAUGGGGAAACCCAAUAUCCAAUGGAUAUUAUCAUUAACUGAAUACAUAGGUUAAUGAAGCGAACCGGGAGAACUGAAACAUCUCAGUACCCCGAGGAAAAGAAAUCAACCGAGAUUCCCCUAGUAGCGGCGAGCGAACGGGGAACAGCCCAGAGUCUUAAUCAAUAGCAGCAUCAGGAGAACGGUCUGGAAAGUCCGGCAGUAAAGGGUGAUAGCCCCGUAUCCGAAGAUGCUGUUAUUGUGAACUCGACGAGUAGGGCGGGACACGUGUUAUCCUGUCUGAAUAUGGGGGGACCAUCCUCCAAGGCUAAAUACUCCUGAUUGACCGAUAGUGAACCAGUACCGUGAGGGAAAGGCGAAAAGAACCCCGGCGAGGGGAGUGAAAAAGAACCUGAAACCGUGUACGUACAAGCAGUAGGAGCCCCAUCACUAAGCUAGUGGUGAACUCACAGCGAUUCUUUUGCAUGAUAAUGUGCGGUAGACGGAGCGAAUGCGACGUCCAACCAACAAAAUCAAGCAGAGGAGGCUUAGUGGUGGGGUGACUGCGUACCUUUUGUAUAAUGGGUCAGCGACUUAUAUUCUGUAGCAAGGUUAACCGUAUAGGGGAGCCGUAGGGAAACCGAGUCUUAACUGGGCGAAUGAGUUGCAGGGUAUAGACCCGAAACCCGGUGAUCUAUCCAUGGGCAGGUUGAAGGUUGGGUAACACUAACUGGAGGACCGAACCGACUAAUGUUGAAAAAUUAGCGGAUGACUUGUGGAUGGGGGUGAAAGGCCAAUCAAACCGGGAGAUAGCUGGUUCUCCCCGAAAGCUAUUUAGGUAGCGCCUCGUGAACUCAUCUUCGGGGGUAGAGCACUGUUUCGACUAGGGGGUCAUCCCGACUUACCAACUCGAUGCAAACUGCGAAUACCGAAGAAUGUUAUCACGGGAGACACACGGCGGGUGCUAACGUCCGUCGUGAAGAGGGAAACAACCCAGACCGCCAGCUAAGGUCCCAAAGUCAUGGUUAAGUGGGAAACGAAGUGGGAAGGCUCAGACAGCCAGGAUGUUGGCUUAGAAGCAGCCAUCAUUUAAAGAAAGCGUAAUAGCUCACUGGUCGAGUCGGCCCGCGCGGAAGAUGUAACGGGGCUAAACCAUGCACCGAAGCUGCGGCAGCGACACUAAGUGUUGUUGGGUAGGGGAGCGUUCUGUAAGCCUGCGAAGGUGUACUGUGAGGUAUGCUGGAGGUAUCAGAAGUGCGAAUGCUGACAUAAGUAACGAUAAUGCGGGUGAAAAACCCGCACGCCGGAAGACCAAGGGUUCCUGUCCAACGUUAAUCGGGGCAGGGUGAGUCGACCCCUAAGGCGAGGCUGAAAAGCGUAGUCGAUGGGAAACGGGUUAAUAUUCCCGUACUGGUGGUAACUGCGAUGGGGGAACGGAGAAGGCUAGGUUGUCCGGGCGACGGUCGUCCCGGUUCAAGCAUGUAGGCAGAGUGAUUAGGCAAAUCCGGUCACUUAAUGCUGAGGUGUGAUGACGAGCCACUAAGGUGGUGAAGCAAUUGAUGCCCUGCUUCCAGGAAAAGCCUCUAAGCUUCAGGUUACCAACAAUCGUACCCCAAACCGACACAGGUGGUCAGGUAGAGAAUACUCAGGCGCUUGAGAGAACUCGGGUGAAGGAACUAGGCAAAAUGGUGCCGUAACUUCGGGAGAAGGCACGCUGGCGGUAAGUGAAGUCCCUUGCGGACGGAGCCGAAGCCAGUCGAAGAUACCAGCUGGCUGCAACUGUUUAUUAAAAACACAGCACUGUGCAAACACGAAAGUGGACGUAUACGGUGUGACGCCUGCCCGGUGCUGGAAGGUUAAUUGAUGGGGUUAUCCUUAGGGAGAAGCUCUUGAUCGAAGCCCCAGUAAACGGCGGCCGUAACUAUAACGGUCCUAAGGUAGCGAAAUUCCUUGUCGGGUAAGUUCCGACCUGCACGAAUGGCGUAAUGAUGGCCAGGCUGUCUCCACCCGAGACUCAGUGAAAUUGAACUCGCUGUGAAGAUGCAGUGUACCCGCGGCAAGACGGAAAGACCCCGUGAACCUUUACUAUAGCUUGACACUGAACAUUGAGCCUUGAUGUGUAGGAUAGGUGGGAGACUAUGAAGUGUGGACGCCAGUCUGCAUGGAGUCAACCUUGAAAUACCACCCUUUAACGUUUGAUGUUCUAACCUAGGCCCAUAAUCUGGGUCGGGGACCGUGUCUGGUGGGUAGUUUGACUGGGGCGGUCUCCUCCUAAAGAGUAACGGAGGAGCACGAAGGUUGGCUAAGCAUGGUCGGACAUCAUGCGGUUAGUGCAAAGGCAUAAGCCAGCUUGACUGUGAGAGUGACGGCUCGAGCAGGUACGAAAGUAGGUCUUAGUGAUCCGGUGGUUCUGAAUGGAAGGGCCAUCGCUCAACGGAUAAAAGGUACUCCGGGGAUAACAGGCUGAUACCGCCCAAGAGUUCAUAUCGACGGCGGUGUUUGGCACCUCGAUGUCGGCUCAUCACAUCCUGGGGCUGAAGUAGGUCCCAAGGGUAUGGCUGUUCGCCAUUUAAAGUGGUACGCGAGCUGGGUUUAGAACGUCGUGAGACAGUUCGGUCCCUAUCUGCCGUGGGCGUUGGAAGAUUGAGAGGGGUUGCUCCUAGUACGAGAGGACCGGAGUGAACGCACCACUGGUGUUCGGGUUGUCAUGCCAAUGGCAUUGCCCGGUAGCUAAGUGCGGAAGAGAUAACCGCUGAAAGCAUCUAAGCGGGAAACUUGCCUCGAGAUGAGUCUUCCCUGUCACCUAGAGUGACCUAAAGGAACGUUUAAGACUAAGACGUUGAUAGGCUGGGUGUGUAAGCGUAGCGAUACGUUGAGCUAACCAGUACUAAUGAACCGUGAGGCUUAACCUGACAACACCGAAGGUGUUU
rnacentral:rRNA from 1 species